AUUUAACCUCAAAUCAGGUAGGACUACCCGCUGAACUUAAGCAUAUCAAUAAGCGGAGGAAAAGAAACUAACAAGGAUUCCCCUAGUAACUGCGAGUGAAGCGGGAAAAGCUCAAAUUUUGAAUCUGGCGGUCAUUUGGUCGUCCGAAUUGUAAUCUAGAGAAGUGUUAUCCGCACUGGCCCGUGUACAAGUCUCCUGGAAGGGAGCGUCUUAGAGGGUGAGAAUCCCGUCUAUGACACGGACUACCAGAGCUUCUGUGAUGCGCUCUCGACGAGUCGAGUUGUUUGGGAAUGCAGCUCAAAUAGGGUGGUAAAUUCCAUCUAAAGCUAAAUACAGGCGAGAGACCGAUAGCGUACAAGUACCGUGAGGGAAAGACGAAAAGAACUUUGGAAAGAGAGUUAAACAGUACGUGAAAUUGUUGAAAGGGAAACGCUUGAUGACCAGUCGCAAGGGUUGGGGAUCAACCUUAGUUGUGAGGUGUAUUUCCUGGUCUUUGGGUCAGCAUCAGUUUUGGACCGCCGUACAAGGGCAGAAGUGAAUGUGCCAUCCUUUCGGGGGUGUGUUAUAGCCUUUCGUCGUAUGCGGUGGCUAGGACUGAGGUACUCAGCACGACACUAGUUUGUGCAUGGGAUGCUGGCAUAAUGGCAUUAAGCGACCCGUCUUGAAACACGGACCAAGGAGUCUAACAUGCAUGCAAGUGUUUGGGUGGUAAACCCGGGCGCGUAACGAAAGUGUUUAGUCGAGACCUCUGUCGUGGAGGGCACCGACGCCCAGACCCAAGUCUUUGACAAAGGCUCUGCGGUAGAGCAUGUAUGUUGGGACCCGAAAGAUGGUGAACUAUG
rnacentral:rRNA from 1 species